rnacentral:rRNA from 1 species
AACUUACCAGGAGAGACAGCAGGUUGAGGGUCAGUCUGAAGAACUUACCUGACGAGCUGAGAGGAGGUGCAUGKCCGUNNCCAGCUCGUGCCGUGAGGCGUCCUGUUAAGUCAGGCAACGAGCGAGACCCCUAUCAGUAAUUGCUAACUGCUCAGAGAUGAGUAGAGGCUAGUUACAGAGACUGCCGUUGAUAAAACGGAGGAAGGAAGGGGCCACGGCAGGUCAGUACGCCCCGAAACUCCCGGGCCACACGCGGGCUGCAAUGGUAAGGACAAUGGGUCCCAACCUCGAAAGAGAGAGGCAAUCCCCAAACCUUACCCCAGUUGUGACUGAGGGCUGCAACCCGCCCUCACGAAUCUGGAAUCCCUAGUAACCGCGUGUCNCCNNUCGCGCGGUGAAUACGUCCCUGCUCC